GACCCAGUGGUGAAAAUGCCUCACGCCCGCUUUGAAUCAUCCUGCCAAAUAGCUAUUAUUAUGGGAGUCCCUUGUUCGAACCAAGACUGGGUCA